rnacentral:rRNA from 1 species
UGAGUAAUGCCUGGGAAAUUGCCCUGAUGUGGGGGAUAACCAUUGGAAACGAUGGCUAAUACCGCAUGAUAGCUUCGGCUCAAAGAGGGGGACCUUCGGGCCUCUCGCGUCAGGAUAUGCCCAGGUGGGAUUAGCUAGUUGGUGAGGUAAUGGCUCACCAAGGCGACNAUCCCUAGCUGGUCUGAGAGGAUGAUCAGCCACACUGGAACUGAGACACGGUCCANACUCCUACGGGAGGCAGCAGUGGGGAAUAUUGCACAAUGGGCGCAAGCCUGAUGCAGCCAUGCCGCGUGUGUGAAGAAGGCCUUCGGGUUGUAAAGCACUUUCAGUCGUGAGGAAGGUGGUGUUGUUAAUAGCACCAUCAUUUGACGUUAGCGACAGAAAAAGCACCGGCUAACUCCGUGCCAGCAGCCGCGGUAAUACGGAGGGUGCGAGCGUUAAUCGGAAUUACUGGGCGUAAAGCGCAUGCAGGUGGUUUGUUAAGUCAGAUGUGAAAGCCCGGGGCUCAACCUCGGAAUAGCAUUUGAAACUGNCAAGCUAGAGUACUGUANAGGGGGGUAGAAUUUCACGUGUANCGGUGAAAUGCGUANAGAUCUGAAGGAAUACCGGUGGCGAANGCGGCCCCCUGNACAGAUACUGACACUCANAUGCGNAAGCGUGNGGAGCAAACAGGAU